rnacentral:lncRNA from 1 species
UCAUAUUUUAUCUCGGUGUGGAACAUCAUCUUUUAGUUGAACCUAGAUGUUUAUUCAAUCUGAAUUUAGAUGUUUUAUUUAGCAUGUACUAGCUAGCUUGUGAUUUCCUAUGCUGCAAACUGUAACUAAUUUUCUUUAGCUGCUGGCUUUGAUACUAUAGAUGACUGGAGCACCUUGUGGUGACUUUGUUCUGCUCGCGAUGUAGUUCUAGAGCAGCUUCAGCGGCAAGGUAAAAAUUCAAUUUCGGAGAGUGGGAUAACUCCCACUAUUUACACUCAUUUUGAAUUGACAGAUCCUAUAAUAGCAUGGAUAAUUGUGCAGAUGCCAUAGUUUCCUAAUUACUACGAUGAUUUGCUGGAUGAGGAGGUGGGUGAGAUGAUGCACAAGGAGGUUGUCGCCGGUCAGAGGAGGAGGGCGACAAGGCUGGAGAGCCGAGGCAGAGGCUUACGGGGAAGAGAAGAAACGACACCUUAUACAUAAAGGAUACCCGCUCCCAGGUGCCAGGAGGACAGCCGUGGCUGACGGAGGUGUGGCUUUCUAAAAACUAAACCUUUCCUCUGUAAUGCAUAGCUUCUCUGUAGAACAUCCAAUUGUUCUUAGGUAGUAUGACUGGAUAACAUCAUUAUUUUGGUCAAACUAAAAUUUACAGAGGGAGGCCUAGGGGAACGUUAGGUUAAGUAAGGUUGGUUUUGUAUCUUCUGUAUUUUAUUGAAAAUGAAGUGCUUCCACCAACAUGAAUAUUCCACGAAAAUCAGACUUCAUAUUUUGUAAAACAUGAAGGUCCAGUCUCUAUAGAUAUCCUCAGUAGGUCAAGGAUAUAAAUUAUUAUCUGCAUUUAUCUCGUGUAUUUUGAUGGAUGGUUGUGGCUGAACCAGCAAAUGCUCAUUGAGAUUUAGAUUACAGGAUAAGAGUGUCGAGGAAGUUAACACAUGAAGUAAUCAUAUGAUUCUACCAUGACUUAGUGCUGCACAUAUGUUGAGGUAGUUACGCAGACAUCUGUUCUACCAAGGUUCUUACUUAUAUGCACUUGUACAUUCUGUUGUUAUAGUUGAUUGAAAUGCUCUAACUUAUGGUUUGCCAUAUGGCCAUGGAUUGUAUAUAGUUUGGUUUCAACACUCCCAAAUAAUAAAUGGUUCCUUUGUUUGUUUUUGUGUUUCAUAGCAAGGAUUAAAUAAUUAGAACCCAAAAGUGAGUUUCAGGAUUUGUAAUGAAAUCCUAUUUGUCGCCUUAUGUCGAGGCAGCCAUGACGCUCUCUGUUGCAAAUAUACCACAACUAAUUUUACAACUCACCCAGUCGUUAUUCCUUAUGAGCUGAUUUAUAUAACUCGGGAUAUAAUGUCCAAGAUUUCUCACGAAUGUACAUUCUAGAUUCUGUGAGGUUAGAAGGUACUUUUAAGAAUAUAGCUGAACUCCAGAUUAUCUUCCUUUUGAUCAACGCUUCUACUAGAGUUCAUUAACUAUGUCAGAUGUCUGUUGGUGUUGGCAUCACAUAGUCCCUGUCAUGAGCAUGCCAUGUUCUCUGAAGUUUACCGAAACAACAAAUAUUUAGUUGAACAUUGACAGCGUUUCUUGUUUUUUCUACUUAAGGAGUUCGAAAAAUUACAGGGUUUUUAAGUUUUAUCUAUGCUUUGUUGGAAGGUAUGCUCGGAUCACUUCUAGAGAUCUGGAGAGGAAAGUUUGUUCCUUCCUUACAAGAGCCAUAUAAACAAUAAGGAAAAGCUCUUUCCUAGCAUAAGGUGAAUCUUGUAUAGUUUAAUUUGGGUAUAUUUUCUUAUAAAUGUGUAUUGUUGCAUACAUAAAUUGUCUCAGUUAGACGAACAAUUUUUUAUUUAGCGGUGACAUACUUGGGACACCAGGAAUAGGAUUGCGGCAGGGUUGGCCAAAGGACUGCACUACUUGCACUUUUUGUACAGCCCAGGAUACCAUAUUGCAACCUAAGGCCAUUGGUAAUUCAGUUAAAUAUAUAUAUUCUCAUUUUUCAGACUUCAGUCAUCAAUUUAGUUCAAUCUGUUAGCUUACUGAUUGCUGCAUAACUACCAUUUCUCAAAUUUACAAUGCGGUUUCUGUGUUGAUUUCAAAAUGGUGAGAUAUAGUUAGUUAUUCACAUUUUAGCAGGGACAAAUCUUGAUUCUUAAAUGCAGGCUAACUGUCAAUUAAUCUUUUAUGUAUAAUACCAACAUGUGUCGUGAUAAUAUAAGAAUGCAACAUUGUAGUGCCAUAUAAUCUAUCAUUUUUUUGGAACCAUAAGCAUGCAGCAUGUACUGCCAAAACUAUUUAUCAUAUGCUGUCAGAGAGAUCUAGCUCAAUAUGGGUUCAGAAGGAAAUUGUCAAAGAUGAAGUGGUACACAUCUACAAUUAUAGUAAAUUUUCUUUAGGGAUUCUAUUACCAAGAAGCACUUGAGUGGUUUGCUCCAUGGUAUAACUAACGAGCAUUUACUGGCUUCCUUCGUUAGUGUUUAUUUGGCAACGGGCAAAGCCAAGGCGUCGCCGGCGAUGCGCUAUCGUUCAGGCGCAUCAUCAAGGCCCGUCUUGACGUGAGCAUGAGGUUGCGUGCUGAAUAUCAUCUCUGUCGGCUGCACCUUGAUCGAUAGGAUGGAAGAUGAGAUGUGUGGACCACCGUUUAUUGGUUGCAGAGAAUUUUUUGUGGGGAGGUGAGACUAUGUAUGUGGGCUAGGAAAGUGCGUCGUCUGUUUCAGUAGCGGUUUCAGAAGCGGAAGAGCAAACAAUUUCGGGCUAGACGGCUGGCGUUGAGUCUUGACUGUUAGGCUUACGGAACUGCUGGAUGAGAGUAUAGUAGAGGCAAGCAUAGCCCAGCGAACAAAUAGGAAAAAUAAAAUAAUUGAUGAUGGAGUUUAUAGGUCAGACCCGAGGAGGUGGGCUUGAGUGGGACUGCAUGAGAUAUGACGUGGCUCGAUGUGAUUAGAUGCGGAGGUGUCUAUGCUGCAUGUUGAGAUAAAUCAAGGAGUGGGGGUGAACAAAUUAAGUAGCAACGCAUGGGUAUUACACCCAAUGUAGUGCCAUAAAUCUCAUCGUAUUGUAUAACCCUCAUCUCAUUGUAUUGUAUAUAUUCAUAUAUUGAUGCAUCAAGGGGUUGCUAAUUGUUGCGAAGUGACAUCUACAUUGCCAACAGAGAAAAUAAAGUUAGUGCGAAGAAGACACGCGUCAGGGAGGAAGUAGGGCAUGCACAAUAGAAUGGGGAUAUAUUUAGGAUGUGAUGAAAAACUGCAUGCUAUAGCAGAGAGACUUGGAUUGGAGGCAAGUCGAGUUAUGGGCGGAGAUGAGAUGACGAAGACAAGAUGAAGACUUGUGGCGGGGAAAAACACGACAUGAUUUAGACGACAAGGGUGCCAUCCCUCCUAACUGCGCCACCCCGGCGUGCUCGAUGUUGACGCUGAGGGUGCCGUCUCUCCACCUCGUUGUGCCACACCAUUGUGCCUCAUGUAAACGAUGCGGGCGUCGUCCCUCCUCGCUGCGUCACACCUUUGUGCCGGUUGUAGAGACGAGGGCGCCGUCAGCGGCGAGCCUUUCUGCACCGAACAAUAGGAUCCAUCUGACCAUGAUGCCUGAUUGGCGAGCGCACGGGCUCCAUGCCGAUGUGGUGGCGGGAGGGGUUGUCAUCAGAGAAGGAGGCCAACGAUGCCAUAGCGGGGAGAGGAGGAUGUGGGCGACACCAUUGNNN